rnacentral:rRNA from 1 species
CCUACGGGUGGCUGCAGUGAGGAAUAUUGGUCAAUGGGCGGAAGCCUGAACCAGCCAAGUAGCGUGCGGGAUGAAUGCCCUACGGGUCGUAAACCGCUUUUACACGGGGAUAACACCCUCCACUUGUGGAGGUCUGCAUGUACCGUGCGAAUAAGGGCCGGCUAAUUCCGUGCCAGCAGCCGCGGUAAUACGGAGGGCCCGAGCGUUAUCCGGAUUCAUUGGGCUUAAAGGGGGCGUAGGCGGGCGUUAAAGUCAGCUGUAAAAUCUCGGGGCUCAACCGCGAACCGCAGUUGAAACUGGGAGCCUUGAGUUCACAACAGGCAGGCGGAAUUCGUGGUGUAGCGGUGAAAUGCAUAGAUAUCACGAGGAACCCCGAUUGCGAAGGCAGCCUGCCGGAGUGCGACUGACGCUGAGGCUCGAAGGUGCGGGUAUCAAACAGGAUUAGAUACCCGUGUAGUC